GUGAGGAAUAUUGCGCAAUGGAGGCAACUCUGACGCAGCCAUGCCGCGUGCAGGAAGAAGGCGCUACGCGUUGUAAACUGCUUUUAACCGGGAAGAAACCCCAGGACGUGUCCUGGGUUGACGGUACCGGAGGAAUAAGCACCGGCUAACUUCGUGCCAGCAGCCGCGGUAAUACGAAGGGUGCAAGCGUUAUCCGGAUUCAUUGGGUUUAAAGGGUGCGUAGGCGGAGCGUUAAGUCAGUGGUGAAAUCCUGCAGCUUAACUGUAGACUUGCCAUUGAUACUGGCGCUCUUGAGUGCGCUUGAAGUGGGCGGAAUGUGCCGUGUAGCGGUGAAAUGCUUAGAUAUGGCACAGAACACCAAUUGCGAAGGCAGCUCACUAAGGCGAUACUGACGCUGAGACACGAAAGCGUGGGGAUCGAACAGGAUUAGAUACCCCAGUAGUCC
rnacentral:rRNA from 1 species